rnacentral:rRNA from 1 species
GACAGAGGGUGCAAACGUUGUUCGGAAUUACUGGGCGUAAAGCGAGUGUAGGUGGUCUGAAAAGUCGGGUGUGAAAGCCCCGGGCUCAACCCGGGAAGUGCACUCGAAACUGCCAGGCUAGAGUGUCGGAGAGGUUGGUGGAAUUCUCGGUGUAGAGGUGAAAUUCGUGGAUAUCGAGAGGAACACCGGUGGCGAAGGCGGCCAACUGGACGAACACUGACGCUGAGACUCGAAAGCGUGGGGAG